GGACUUUCUUGAGUGGACUUGGUUGGUGUCAAUGUAUUGUCAAAGUGCUUACAGUGCAGGUAGUAUUAUGGAAUAUCUACUGCAGUGGAGGCACUUCUAGCAAUACACUUGACCAUUUUAACCUUCCUCCAGGCAUCC
ensembl:miRNA mir17a-1 microRNA 17a-1